AAUUUCGCGAUAGUACAAUAGAAAUGAACGACGUGGCCAGGCUAAAGACAUCUUGAACAAAAGAGGUGCGACCGCUUGUGAAUAGAAACGGAUGACAAAGUCAGACCAAAGUCACUGUCUGUGCACGGAAGAGACGCUUAUUAGACCAUAUUUGAUGAAACUAACAGUUAUAGAAUAACAAUGAUACAGAUAUAUAAUUUAUAAACUGAUAGUCAUAGCACAUUGGAAUUUUGUGCAGAUUUUAAUUAUUGCUUUGUAUUCAAGACACAAAAGCAUUUUUCUCUUAUAAAAAAGACAAUGCUCUAAACUGACAAGAUCUUUUACUCAAACGACGUUUUAAGUAACCAAAUCAUUCAGAUUAUAAGCUUGAGAUGAUAAUUAUUGAAACAUACGCCCUAGUUCCUCGAAGAAGCACAGAUUAAAUCAAUCAACGACGUCGCCGCAAAAGAAGGUUAAAAAGAAGGAAGAUUAAUAUUGAAACGUGACCGCGAUGAAGACGGAUCAAUUUUUUCUGUCAGUUUAGACAAUCUGUUUCGGGUCUCAGGAGUCCUAGCGAAUCCACUUAUUUCAAGUCUUCCCGGUACCUCAUCGUUCGAAACAAUUCCAUUUUCUUCUUCCACAUUUCCUUUUUUCCGCCUUGAUUUUCAUCCGUUCCUCUCCUCAAGGCUGCUGAGCAUGCGAAAUUUCGAGCGCCAGGCGAAUAGAAUCGUGGCAAACAGAUCGAAACAGAAGGAGGAGGAGGGCACAAGGAGAGAAAAGAGGAGAAGCAACAAAAGAGGAGAAUCCGAUCGCUCGAAUCACCGACAAAUAUGAGUGCCUCGAGCGUUCCGGAGGGAGUCAUCGACCGUCUAAGAUUUCUCGAUUUUCGUCUUCUUCCUGCCUGGAUUCAGCUACGUAAUAUCUCCCAGGACAAGUUUCGAGGAAUAAUAGAAAAUGUUUGGACACAAUGUUGAGACAACUUUCCUAACUGAGCGACUCCGAUACGCGAUAAUUUAUGGCUACGGAUUUUCUAUAUAAAUAAUUCUUGGAACAGAUGGAUUAAUCCAUACAUGCAAUUGUUGAAAUACGUUAAUUGGCCUCUCAACACGGCGAAUUACUUAUGCAGGAUCAUUUCCUGGCUACUGUACGAUCCAAGUUAAUCUUUGUAUCCAUCGACGCAGUUGUCUUUAGAUCUUGUAAGUAAGUGAAAAAGGAGCUGAGACGUAGUCUGACUUAACGAAAUCAUUAAUUUAUGUUCGUACUUCAGAGCGGUUAGUUUUCAACAGCACAUACGAAUCUUUCAUUGUCGUAAUUCAGACAAAUUACACAUUGCUGAUGAUUAUCUAUUCUAUUGUAACAGUAAACACCACUAUUUAUCAAUACUUGAACACUCUGCUCAGUAUAUUCAAUUUCUGCUUCAGUUCGAUAGAAAAACUAGAUUUUAGAAAUAUCAGUAACAUUUAACACGACUGCCACGAUAAUUUAUUGCACCGGAUAUUAACAGUCCAUUUAAUAAAUGUUUCCUUUGCAUUAGCAUCUAAAACGCGUAGAAAUGACAUGGAAAUCGGAGAGUCUAAACGAAAUAAGCGCCUAACGAGGAGAUGCUCGUUUUUGAUACUCAAUACACACCUCUCAAAUUAUGCUAGCGUCGGUUAUCGUUGGCAUCUUACACCAGUUAAACGUGUUAGGAGUAACCAGGCAGCGAAGCCGUGAUAUACGACCGAACCGCAGUUUUCUCCUAGCGAGACGAACGAGCACUGCCGCGGAAGAAAGCCAGGAAGCUAUGCAAAUCGAGAAAACGACCGUGAGAUGGAUUAGCUGGACGUCAGGUGGACUAAUGGAUAUUAGAAUCCUGGCGGGGGAUUAAGGAGACUACGUCAAGAGCGUCUACACGUCAGAAGAUCCUCGCGAGUUCUACUCGAAUCAAGCGGACCAUGCUCGGAUCUCGCACAGAAGUCUACUCUCGGGCGUCAUCACCAAGCAGAAUAUUUCCAGACGCAUAGAAUAUCACCAUUCCUUUUUCAUCUUCCUUGAUGCUAUCACAAUCGGCGUCGGAUGGAUGUCAACUAGCAUACCAUACGAAAAUAAGUUAUAAAAUAAAGAUAAAGUUACUGAACAUUCUAUAAGCAUAAUAGAAACUAUACUUGACUUGACUUGAUGAACAAAGAGAAGUAUAAUACGAAGCAGCUGCAGACAGGAAUAACCUGACAAAUUUAAGGAGAUAUAUUUAAUUCCAAAAUCAAAUGAAAAACGUACAAAUGAUUGUGAAUGUUGCAUUGAAUUAAACAUUCUUCUUGUACAGAGGAUAUUAUGUUCUUUUAGCCGAACACUAACAAAAAUUACGCUUAAAGCUAACCAGUCAUCAUGGUGUUAAUACAUAUUUAAGUACUCGAGAGAAAAAAUGACUUCAAGUAUCAGAACGAUUACUGUGAAAAGUAAACAAAAACGCGACGGAAUGCACGAAAUACAUGGAGGAUAGAGUUUCGAUACGAUACAACAUUUUCUUUACGCACUCUCGAUUAAUUCGAAAGCAGAUUGCAUCGAGGCACAUCCACUUUCACUGCGAACCCCGAGAGAAGAAAUUACGACGGUGGCCGUAAACUGCUUCUGCCAGGCAUGCGCGCUCGCCAGAUUUAAUUAAAUAUUUGCACUCGGUUUAAUCUUGCCUCAGCCGUUCCUUCUUCGCUUCGGCUUCUCUCGAUUUGCUGUCGCCUCUUAUCCUCUCCCCGGCCAGAACAGCUCCCUUUCAUCGUCCACGAAUAAAUAAUUUCCGACGAUUUGCAUCGGAAUAAUCAGCCUCGUUCCCGAUCACGAUAUCCAAUCGAUGUUUAAAGAGAAAGAGACAACGAGACAGGUCUUUCAGUUCUUCUUUGUUCGUGGCUACACGAAAAACUGUGUUCCAAGUUCAAGGAUCGUGUUAUCUAAUCACGCUCUCGCGAUAGUGAUUCAGAGUUAAUUUGGUGUGAUCGAUUGCUUCUUUUCUUACGAGUUUCCUUCUUUAUUAAAAGACCUGCAUUUUAUAUAUUUGCAAUAUCAUCUGAAAUAAUUGGAGAAUUUCGCAAUACUAUUGUACGAUCAAUACGAAGAAUAUUCGGACAAUAACAUAAAUUCACACGAGUGAAUGAUUCGACGAUUCAACGAACGAGCCAACGAUUGAUAGCAUAUUACCCAAAACUGAUCCAAGUCCGAUUCAUAGAAAGUAGAUUGUAAUCCAAUAUGAAUUUACCUGAAACACAAAGAGAAAGCGGUUUAUUAUAAACAAUUCUCUCACGGACACACGUGGGAAUGCUAUUAUGGAACGCGUAACCAUUAUUACAGCUUACAUUACAGAUAAGAUCUUUAUAUUCGAUUAUAUCUACGAUAGUUUCUUUAUCGAA